rnacentral:misc_RNA from 1 species
UUUGCUGGCUUCAUUAAUGAGGUCUGCUCCCCUUAAAUGCAUUAGCCGGUGCCCUGCGUGGAGCCGUCUAUUGGUGUGAUAAUUAUCUACGCCGUGGACGUCCACUUUUAAUGGGGAUGCACUGCUUCUAACCGUCCGUUCAUUCAGACAAUUAAUGACAAUUUGACCUCAAAUCAGGUAGGACUACCCGCUGAACUUAA